CCGUGCUAGAUGGGGCUUUAGCGGUGCCCUGUGACCUACAAUCCGCUAUAGUAGGGUCGAACACCUUUUUGAGGGACCUUGAGGUGGAGCUGCUCUUGGCAAGCACCGAUGAAGGAUGAGUCCUACGCAAUGAAGACUUUUGAACCCCGUCAGGUCCGGAAGGAAGCAGCGGUAAG
rnacentral:SRP_RNA from 1 species